GAAGACGAAUAUAGGUCUAGUAUACAUAUAGUGAAAAUUUGUGACUAGAUCUUAUACUCGUCUUUA
rfam:Camponotus floridanus CamFlo_1.0_3.contig6561, whole genome shotgun sequence.